UACGGAGGGUGCAAGCGUUAUCCGGAUUCACUGGGUUUAAAGGGUGCGUAGGCGGAUAGGUAAGUCCGUGGUGAAAUCCUGCAGCUUAACUGCAGAACUGCCAUGGAUACUAUUUAUCUUGAAUGUCGUGGAGGUUAGCAGAAUAUGUCAUGUAGCGGUGAAAUGCAUAGAUAUGUUAUAGAACACCGAUUGCGAAGGCAGCUAACUAAGCAUAUAUUGACGCUGAGGCACGAAAGCGUGGGGAUCAAACAGG
rnacentral:rRNA from 1 species